rnacentral:rRNA from 1 species
GACGAACGCUGGCGGCGUGCCUAAUACAUGCAAGUCGAACGAGAGCGACCGGUGCUUGCACUGGUCAAUCUAGUGGCGAACGGGUGAGUAACACGUGGGUAACCUGCCCAUCAGAGGGGGAUAACAUUCGGAAACGGAUGCUAAAACCGCAUAGGUCUUCGAGCCGCAUGGUUUGAAGAGGAAAAGAGGCGCAAGCUUCUGCUGAUGGAUGGACCCGCGGUGCAUUAGCUAGUUGGUGAGGUAACGGCUCACCAAGGCCGUGAUGCAUAGCCGACCUGAGAGGGUGAUCGGCCACAUUGGGACUGAGACACGGCCCAAACUCCUACGGGAGGCAGCAGUAGGGAAUCUUCCGCAAUGGACGCAAGUCUGACGGAGCAACGCCUCGUGAGUGAAGAAGGUUUUCGGAUCGUAAAACUCUGUUGUUAGAGAAGAACAAGUGCUAGAGUAACUGUUAGCGCCUUGACGGUAUCUAACCAGAAAGCCACGGCUAACUACGUGCCAGCAGCCGCGGUAAUACGUAGGUGGCAAGCGUUGUCCGGAUUUAUUGGGCGUAAAGCGAGCGCAGGCGGUUCCUUAAGUCUGAUGUGAAAGCCCCCGGCUCAACCGGGGAGGGUCAUUGGAAACUGGGGAACUUGAGUGCAGAAGAGGGAGAGUGGAAUUCCAUGUGUAGCGGUGAAAUGCGUAGAUAUAUGGAGGGACACCAGUGGCGAAGGCGACUCUCUGGUCUGUAACUGACGCUGAGGCUCGAAAGCGUGGGUAGCAAACAGG